UAGAUCUCAGUAAAGGGCUUUUUUUUUUUUUGGCAUUGAUUGCAUUCCUAUAAACUAUAGUUGCAAUAUUUGGAAAAUAUAUUGUCAUAUUUUAUGACACUAAUUGAUGUAUAUGACUUUUAUUUUGAGAAUCCAGGUUCACACUCCUCAUUGUUGUCUUUGAUUUGAUUAUAGACAACCUGCUUGAAUGGGUCAAUCUUGAGCUAAAUAAAUAUUACAACAUCUAGUGAAGAACAAACUUGGUCUUGUUUUCUGUCUAAAUUUAUAAUUUUUAUAUUAGAUUUUGAGCAAAGUUGUAAUCUGGUGAAAUGAAAAGUCAUCUAAAAGAAGAAAAUUUCUGGACUAAUAAUAAAAUGAUUAUUAUUAAUUAAACUUAGUUGUGUUUAGCUUUUAGCUUUUAUUUUAAAAUCUUCACGUGUGUUAGUCUCAAAGUUAUCAAAGGGAGUUGGCGUAAGUUCUUGGAAAGUAUUUCUAUUGGGAUUAAAAGUCCUCUCUAUGAGACUUCACUCUCCAUCUUGUGUUGAUUUUCUGACGAACAUAAAAAUAAAUGAGGAGGAAAAAGCUUGAACCCUUAACUUUAUUUUUUUUUUGGCAUUUUAGACUUUACUUUGUCAUGGAUCCAAAAACUUUGGAGUGUGUUAAAAUAUUAAAUCUUUGUUUGCAUUUAUGGGUGUGCAUUUUUGCUCUUUUUGUUUUCUUUCAUUUUCAUGCAGGGUUGUGUGUUUGUGUGUUUUAUGAGCAGUAGUCAGCAGGAGCAAAUGAGAAGAAUUUUACAAUUAUGAAUUCUCAUGCAUAAUUUGAUUUUAAUUAAAUCACAGAUAAUCAGAAUAGCAGUCUCAAGGAUUUAGGAUCCCUGCUGAACCCCCUCUUCUUGCACGGCACCAAGAGAAAGAUAAAACACCUUUAAAAGUCAGCAUUUAACACACAGUGUUUGGUUUGGAAACAAUCGCAUAUUAAAUUAUUCAGCAACUAUAAUGUCCCAAACAGUUUUCAGGUUGUGUUUUUAUUAAGCUAAACAAAGUUUCUAUGAAAAGUUGUGGGGUUUCGGUAAGUUGUGGGGUUUCUGUGUGUGUGUGUGUAUGUGUGUGCCCUAAAGGCCCAAACAGCUUAUGUCAGCUACAGCAACUCGUUUUUGAUUCAGCAAAACUAGGUUAUGAAUUCAAGCAAUUAAAAAUGACAGAAAGCCCAAUUUCACUGCCUAGAUUAAUAUGCUUCCAAUUUUUCCUGCUCCAUAAAAAUUUCAAAGUGUUCUUUCUGGUGAGGUGCUUGCAUAACCUGUAGGGUAUUGGGAGGGUCUCCAUUUCUUGUUUGCUUAUGAUGUCUGAAUACUUUGAUGUAGCAAAUGUAAAUAGGAUCAGUUGGAUAUUUGUAACAUAAUUUUGUGCUUGCAAGUUCUCCUGAAAUUAUUUUGGUUGGGUUUAAAAGAAAAGAGCAGUGGUUAGUUUCUAAGCAUUUACCGAUAGUGAAGAAUCUGUCGGCAAGCUCCAAUGUCAUGAAGGCCAGGAAAGACUUUUCAAGAAAAGAUACAAUUAUAGUAGAACUAGUGUUUUCAGCUUCCAAAGAUGGCAGUGAUAUAUGUAAAUAUAUAUAUAUAUAUAUGUAAAAUAUUAUGCAGUGAUGGGCAUGUUUAUUACUUUUUCUCUAUUCCUAAAGUAAUGUCUGGAAUUCUAGAUUCAUGUUUAUCUAAUGAGCCAAAUCUCUCCCUGUUAUUUAAAAUGGUCCUUUUUUCUUACACACUAAUUAGUAGUCAAAACCAGCUGCUUUAAUGAUCUGUAGUUUUUGGUUUGUUCGUUAAGUUUUCUAACCUGGUUUGAAUUAACUUGUUCACACAAAGAGUGUACACAGACACAGAUAUACACUCAAAAAGCUCAUCUCCCAGCACCAUUUACUCCAUGCUUUCAAUCCAAUACAGAAAGACAGCAAGAACCAAAGAAAUCAAGGUGCACUAUUUGCCCAAUGUUUGUUUUACAGAGAAGACCCCUAAAGGGCUGUAUAUGAGGAAGGCCUCUGCCAGCCCUUCCUUUGCUCUUCAUGGUAAUUCUGCAUCUGCAUUUGCCACAGUACUGUGGAUGUAUUUCUUUGUUGUUUAGUUGCAGUCUCUAGUUGUGAGGAAAUCAGUUGUUGUCUGCAAAGAAGAUGUAAGUACUAGUUGGAUUUAUUGUGGUUAGCUGAAUGUGUAAGUACAGGUCUUCCAUUUCUAUUAAAAUGAUGAGGAUGAGGAUGUGAUAACCUGUCAACAGAAACAGCAGUGACGAUACAAUGCCGAUUUCUUCCUGGGCGCUUACUGACUCCUUCUCUGCAUCAGACAUUGGACGAGGAGCUCCUAUGUAUUUUCUCUGUUCUUACAACUCUGCAAGGUAGGUAUUACCAUGCCUAAUUUAGAGAUGGAGAAACAAUUUUCAAGACUUUUUAUAAUUAGAAAAAGUGAUUAGACUCCAAAUUUUUCUGAUUCCAAUAUGCUAAGAUACCAUGGAAGUUUAUUAAUCUGAGUUUAGAAUUUAGCAUUUAGAAUCUGUUUACACAUAAUGGGUACUUAACAGAUACACUAGGUUAGGGAUUCUCAAACAGGAUCAAUUUCCUCCCCUAACCCAUAAUAAUAUUUAACAACAUUUUGAAGACAGUUUUUGUGUCUUUGCGAGAGGAUGACUCCCUCCCGCAAAACAAAAACAAAUUACCUGGCCCCAAACCACCAGUGCCACAGCUGAGUAAUUAUACCCUAGGUAAUAUCAGUGAUAGUCUAAUAUAAACAUGGUCUGAUUUUUCAAGAGAGGGGAGAAGAAGGGAAAAAAAGAUCUUGCAAGUACGCGAUUAAAUACAUACCAGAAUAUCCAGAAAACCAAGACAGAAGUAGAAAGCGUCAAUGAACUUCAGUUGAAUAAAUGAGUACAUGGAUGGAACAUUUUGUAUUUUUCAAAAUUUCUUGUCAAGAAUAUGUAUGGGUUUGUACUUGAAAAUGUCUCACAUCUCGAAUACAAGCCACUGUGGUGGGAAAUACAGGUCUGACAGGCGUCCAUUUCAUACCAGCUGUCCUCAGCUUACCAAUCUAAAUUUGUACGUUACUUAAGUGUUAGGCAUAGGUAUCUGCUUACUAUUUAUUGCCCUGCAGAAAGCUCAGAGAUGAUUAACCACAGCUUACAAGUAUGGACUGCAUUUUACCUGAGGCAGGACACAGAUUUUUUUAUACAAGAAAGAAAGGGUCACCCAUGAACAGCUCGUAUCUGGUCAUGGACCAAUAUUAAAGUCUCAAAAAGGGCUCUUGAGCUACCUCCUCCCAGCCUGGAGACAGUUUAGGAACUGGGUUGGAAGUGGAAACCAUUACUGUUCUUUAUAUUUCAGGCCCAAUAAACUCACUUUUGAACAAAGAAAGCGAAGAGUGAAUCCCAUUGCAGAACUGUCAGAAGACUGAUGUUGGAUCCAUUAUUGUCAAAUGUCCUUUUUUAAUACAGUUCCUUGAAUUGGCUUUUGUGGAAUACCUAUUUCAUCUAAGUGUUGGUUCAGGAAAUGGUUUAAAAUGAAACCAGAAUUUGUUGUUCAGUGGUAAAAUAAAUGAGAUGAAUCCACAUAGCCAGGACUACCCAGUAAAGUUGUGUAGAUACUAUCUAUUAGUAUGCAGUACUAAAAUUUAAAUUAUGUAUGUAUAUAUAUAGUUAUAUCUAUAGUUAAGCUAUAGAUAUGUAACUUAUGUAUAGACUAGAAGCUACAUAGUCUAUAUAUAGUCUAUUUAUAUCUAUAUAUAAACUAUAUAUAGAUAUAUAGUUAAGCUAUAUAUAUAGUUUAAUUGAUGAAAGAAAGAAUGGGAAGUUGGAUUUAAAAUAGCCAUUUUAAUUCCAUAUCCAGAAGAAUAUGGAAUACUUCCACAUCUUAAGGUGAGCCUCCUUUUAGAAAUAAAGAUAACUAGUGAUAAACCUUGUAUGCCAUUAAAAAGAGUGUACCCAACACUCAGUGAUUUUCUGCCCAGUCUUGAUUGUGAAAUUUUCUUAGAAUCUAAACAUACAGAAGUUACAUCAAUGUUAUAAGUGGUUCAGGAUUCAAAUUCUGCUGCUGACAGAGAAAGAAACCUGAUUUUGUUGUAAUGCACUCGCUAAUUGUUCAGUAUAUGGAAUUGCACAUCAUUAUCCUUCUUAUCGAUACUGUCUGUUGAGUGCCUGCAAUAAGCUAGACACUGUACUAAUUCCCAGAUGUGCAUUAUUGGCCUGAAUAUUUCCAGCAGCCCUAUGAGGCAGAUGUGGUUGGUAUACCCAGGGUUCAUGAGGGAAGGCUGAAACUUGGGAUGAUUUUUCAAGGGUUACAAGCAGCUAGUGACUAAAAGGGCUGCUAAUCAAAUUUGAAGCUUUGAGGCUUUGAAGUCCCUUUCCCCGCUUUUUUGGCCCAAAGCUGUAUGAAUCGUUGUUCUAACAUUGGUGAAAAAUGAAUCUGAUGUAGAUGAAGGAUUUAUGUAGCUAUAGGAAGUUCCUAUAACUCUCCUAUUAGGAUUAACCUUCUUAUCAUCUUGGCAAAUUAUGAAAGUGGCUGGAUAUUUUGGGUAGAUGGGUGGAUGGGUAGAUGAAUGGAUAGAUGAGUAGACAUAUAGACUGAAUAGUAAUGGAGAAGACAAAUUGGCAAAGGACAUGAAUAUAGGUUUUGGAAAAAUAAAUAUAAAUGGCAAGUAUAUGAAAGUGUGUGUGUGUGUGUUUGUGUGUGGGUGGGUGUGUGAAAGUUUCCCUUGUAUAUGUGAAAGUUUUAAUAUUGUAUUGGAAAAUAAUUUGUUGAUGAAACAGGCAUUUUAUAUACUGUUACAAUGUGGAAUAGUACCUUUUUCUGUAGAGGACUAUUUGGGAAUUUUUAUUUUAAAAAAGUAGGCUGGGCAUGAUGGCCCAUGCCUGUAAUCCAACACUUUGGGAGGCCAAGGAAAGAGGAUCAUGAGGUCAGGAGUUCAAGACCAGCCUGGCCAACAUAGUGAAACCUCGUCUCUACUACAAAUACAAAAAUUUGUCAGGUGUGGUGGCAGUCGCCUGUAGUCCCAGCUAUUUAGGAGGCUGAGGCAGGAGAAUCGCUUGAACCCGGGAGGCGGAGGUUGCAGUGACCCUAGAUCGUGCCACUGCACUCCAGCCUGGGUGACAGAGUGAGACUCCAUCUCAAAAAUAAAUAAAUAAAUAAAUAAAUAUGUACUUUUGACCCAGCCUUUCUGCCUCUGGAAUCUAUGUGAUCGCUGAAGUUUGUGAAGAUGCAGCUUGGUUCACUGCCGCAUUGUGAACAGUCAGAAGGAAACUGGAGCAGACGAAAUACCUAAGUAGGGGGAUUGGAGGUCAAGGACCCUUGUAGGAAUGAAGUGGAUUUGCCUGGAUGUAAAACUACAUCUAAGAUGUUAUGAGUGAGGAAGAGCCCAAAACUCAGAAAUCUGUUUGAAAAACUUUGUUAGAAAGCAGACAUACACAUGCAGUUGUUUUACGUAGAGGGCAAUACUGCAAAAGAUAAUAAAGGGACUAUGAACAGUGAUUAUCUUUGUUGUAGCUGUGCAGUAUGACUAAGAGAGGGGCAGGGAAGAGAUGAAGCUUUUGUUUUUAAGAUUGCACCUUUAUUCUUUGUGAUUUUCAGCAAAGAUGCCCUAUUUGGAUAAUUAAAAAAUACUUAAAAGAAAAGCUUCCAUUUUGCAAACAACCUGUGAUAACUUUACCCCUGAGCUGAUAAAGAUCAGCUUAGAUACCAACAUAGAUACUCUAUGUUGGACAUAGGCAACCUAAAUUGCUUGGAAAAUAUAUUUGAGCUUUAGAAAAGAUAAAACUGAAAAUCAUUGGAUUCACAGUUAUGUUUUGGUUAAGGUUUGGGGUCAGUAUCCUUUUUGGAAUGGGGUGGUGGGGUGUUGGAAUUUCCUAAAAAUAUUAUAUCUAAGUGUUAACAGUAAUGGUUUGACCACAGAAGAAAAUCAAAUUUCCCUGUUGCUGUACACACUUGUCAUUCAUCGUCCGUACUGCAAAAUCAUGAUCCUUAUCCUCCCAGAUGUGUGUGUUUUUGUCAGGGACCGUAGGCUGCUAAAAGUUGUAUACAGUACUAUUAUUUUUUUUAUUCAUCUCUAGGUCAUUUCAUCUUCCUGUGCAAGCCACAUGAAUAGCUGUGUAUGAAAAUUGUAUUUUGUGCUGCAUUUCCCACUGUGAAAGAUGUUUACUAUAUAUUUAUGAAAACACUGCAAUAACAAAACCCUUUAUAUAGCCUUUCAAUUUGCUGUAAGGGCAGAUAAAAUAUUUUUAUCUCAAGCUGAACUUCAUACCUUGGGAGAUUCAGCUGGCCUGACUCAGAAUAAUAAAACACUUCAGAGAAAGGCAGGUGCUGUUCAGAUUGCUUCAGAAACCUGUGCACUUCACUCGGCAGAUUUCACUUCGUUUAAACACGCCAACUGAAUAUACAAAAGCUAGAAAUAAUCAGUAUAAACUAUGCAACGUUAAGUACAAGAAAUCAUCUUUUUUUUGUUAAAUAGUUUCAUAAUACAUCUACAGUAGCAUCAGAGUGAUUUUUAAUGAGUAGUAUUUUCCUGUAUACCAGAAGAUACAGAGAGAAGGUUGGCGAUCAUUCCAGUGUCUUGAAAACUUUCAUUCUUCAUCUGCAUUUAGGCUUUGGCAAUGUUCUUAAUUGAAAUUUUUACAGAGAUAAAUGUAGCAUAUGCAGUUGUAAGAAAAUAUAGAUAGAUCUCUUGUACACUAUUCUCUAAUGGUAAUAUUUUACCAAACUGUAGUAUCACAUCGUAUCGAGGAUACUGGCAUGGCUGCAAUCCACUGACCUUAUUUGAAUUUCCCUAAGGUUACUUGCACGUAUUUGUGUGUAUACAUAUUGUUCUGUACAACUUCAUCGUGUGUAGGUUUGUGUAUCCACCGCCACAGAUAAGGUACUGAGCAGUUCCAUCCUGAGGUUCCAUUUGUAUAACCACAGCUAUCUCUCGCGACCACCUGCCCCUGUUCUUAACCCCUGUCAAUCAUGAAUCUGCCUUCCAUUUGUAAAACUUUGUUAUUUCCAAAAUGGUAUAUAAGUGAGAUCACAGAGUGCUUAGAGUUUUGGGAUGGGCUUAUUGACUCAUCAUUCCCUGGAGUUGUACCUACAUUGUUACAUCAGUAAUUUUGCAUGGUAUAUAUAUGUACCACAGCUUAACCAUUCACCUGUUGAAGGAUAUCUGGGCUGGCUUUGACCAUCACACAUAAAGCUGUCUUGAACAUUUGUGGAUAGGUUUUUGCGUGACCGUGAGUUUCACUUCUCUGGGAUAAAUGCCCAGGAAUGGGCUUUGGCGAUCUUUGAUUUAUGCAUAUUAUGGAACACAUCAAUAUGUUGCACCCAUUGGAAGUCAAUGCCAGUUGCGUACAAACUGAUACAAGGAAAAAAGAAAAUUGUACCCACGUCUUAAUGUUUAUUUUUACAUAAACACGGCACUAAAUGCAGAGAAUAGCCAGCAUUUAUGUAGCAUCCACCAUAUGCCAGGCUGUAUUCUAAGCCUGUUAUGUAUGCUAACUCAUUUGUCCUCAGAGCAGCCUUAUGAAGUAUUUACUACUGUUCUUUCUUAUGGAGGCAACACCAAGCACAAAAUGGUUAAGUAACUUGCCCAAGAUUAUACAGUCAUCACCACUUAGAGGUAGUCGGUCUGGCUGGAGAACCCCUGAUUUUAACCACUAAUCGAUGUCCCCGCUUUCUUUUGUUUGUUUGUUUAUUUAUUUAUUUUGAGAUGAACUUUCACUCUUUCACCCAUGCGGGAGUGAAGUGGUGAGAUCUCGGCUCAUUGCAACUUCUGCCCCCCGGAUUCAAGCGAUUCUCUUGCCGCAGCCUCCUGAAUUGCUGGGAUUAUAGGUGCCCGCCACCAUGCCUGGCUAAUUUUUGUAUUCUUAGUAGAGAUGGGGUUUCACCAUGUUUUCCAGGCUGGUCUCGAACUCCUGACCUCAGGUGAUCCACCGCCCCCCGCCCCCGCCUUGGCCUCCCUAAGUGCUAGUAUUACAGGCUUGAGCUACCGCGCCUGGCAGACAGACAUCUAUAAGAUGAUGUCCCCACUUUCGUAGAUCGGUUGGUCAUAACUUGUGGGUUGGCUGAGACAGUAAUAUUCAUUUAGAGUAAACAUCUAUUGAUAUCACCCUGAGAAGAAAUAAUAAAUGAAACUGGGUAUAUAGAAUAAUCAGCUAGCUGACUUCAUCAGCCCUUAGCUCACAGCUCUGCCUUAAAGCUUGCUUUAUUUGGCCGUUUCAGACAGAUGGAUGCCUCUUAUGGCUUUUGGAUCUCCAAGACGUAGAUUUCACAACCCUCCCUUGGUUACACACUGUAAUAUUUAACAGCUCUCAAUAGCAGUAUGUUCUGCUUUUUUGGUACGGCCCAAAUCUCUCCUAUGGCAAACUCAACACCCCUCACUCCUUCUUCCCACCUAUUGAAGACGUGGAAUUGUUGUUUGUCCAUUGUAUUCACAACAUAAAGGUAUCUGUUUGUAACAGAAUAUUGCUUGGCUGCUUUACAUUAAUCCUUGAGCUUUUCGUUCCUCCAAAGGCAUUUUAUAUUUCCAACAGGCUUAUAAAGUAUUUAAUAUUUUCAUAUGCGUCAGUGUAAAGCCAUCUGUUGCAGUGACAGGACAAAAUGUGGAAGACAAGAACAAGCGUAUGUUUAUGGAAAGAUUCCAUGAAAUGUUAACAAGAAAGAUAUGUGCUACUCUGGGGUGUCUUGUAGAAAAUGGUCAGGGGAAUUUGGAAAGGCAUGGCUUACAGCAUUGGUAUUUGUAAAUUAGUGUUUAUAAAAGGCAUGUGCACUUUUUUUUUCUAUUUUCCUGCAAAUUUAGAGUAGAUUGUUGACAUAAAUGGUGACAGUGACCACUCUGAAAGGAAAUGGUGGUGUGACCUAAUAUUUGGAACUUCCUUCAUUUGUUGUUCUUCAUUCACAGGCUUCAACUUUUUCCUUUUCCUUUGAACAAGUGGAUUGGGAACCUGCUUUGCGGCAGGCGUUUGUGUUGCCGGAAUAGCUAGAUUGUGUUUCUAAACAGCUAGAACUGUUUCUCAGUGCCUUACUUUUAAUAGCCGUGUUGUGGUCUUGCUUAUACAGAAACAAUCAGACGGGAAUCAAUUUUGCCUGCCCACUUGAACGUAUCGGUUUAGGCACAGUUAUCCAAAGCUGUUGCUGCAUUACAUUGCCCCUCGUCGAACUGGGCUCAGAAAAUCAAAGCAAGUUCCCCCAAGUGAAGACACCAAUGCUCUUGGGGAAACACAUCACAGCUAAAAUACAGCGAGUAUUGGCCGGGCACGGUGUCUCAUGCCUGUAAUCCCAGCACUGUGGGAGGCCAGGGUGGGUGGAUCGCUUGAGGUCAGGAGUUCGAGACCAGCCUGGCCAACAUGGUGAAACCUCAUCUCUACUAAAAACACAAAAAUUAGCCUGGUGUGAUGGCGGGUGCCUGUAAUCCCAGCUACUCGGGAGGCUGAGGCAGGAGAGUCGCUUGAACCCAGGAGGUGGAGAUUGUGGUGAGCCGAGACUACGCCAUUGCUCUCCAGCCUGGGCAACAAGAGAGAAACUCCGUCUUCGGAAAAAAAGACAAAAAGAAAAUGCACUAAGUAUAGUAUCUGCCAAGUACUACUACUACUACGAGAGGCACUGUGUCUUGGUUGGCUUAUUUGAGGCUCUCAAACCUCUUAGGUAGCAUAAGAAGUCAUUGUCUUCAUUUUACAGAUGAGGGAGCAAUUUUAGAGAAGGUAAUUAACCAAAUAUUACAUUGCUAACAUGGAGUGGACUGGGAACUUGGCAACAGGCCGACUAAACCCACAAGCAGCUUGCUUAACCGCUGUGUUUUGUAACUGAGGCUGGAGAAAGAGGAGGAGCUUGUGAGGUGCCUUCCAGACCAGCUCUUCUCAGGUGGGCGUUAGCUGGGAUGUGUGGGUCAAAGAUGCAGUAUGUUGUUGAGAUGUGACAUUGACAUGGAGCUUGAUGCCCUCCACAGACUUUCUCUAAAAGUUCUUCAUUUCUCAGCUACUUUUCCCACUCUGUAAAUAGUCACUUCUCAAGCCCCAGAGAACACUUGUAGAAAGAAGUUGGUGUGAACUCUAGAAGAACAGCUCUUCAAAAUGCCGCAAUGGAGCAAGGACAUGUGGAAUAACCUCCAGUAUAAAUCCUUUACACCGAUUUUUGAACUUUUUUUAAAGAAAAAAAAAAAAAACAGAGUUUUGCUCUUGUCACCCAGGCUGGAGUGCAGUGGCGCGAUCUUGGCUUACUGAAACCUCUGCCUCCGGGGUUCAAGUGAUUGUCCUGCCUCAGCCUCCUGAGUAGCUGAGAUUACAGGCAGAUACCACCAUGCCUGGCUAAUUUUUGUAUUUUUAGUAGAGACAGGGUUUCACCAUAUUAGCCAGGCUGACCUCGAACUCCUGACCUCAAGUGAUCCACCCACCUCAGCCUCCCAAAGUGUAGGUAUUACAGGCGUGAGUCACCACUCCCGGCCCUAUUUUAUAUUCACAAGUGUGAGAAAGUGCCUAAAAGCAUUCACAGGUUUUCAAUCAUAUUUAUAAAUAAUCACUGUUACCCAUGUCAAAAGAUGACAAUUCCAGGCCAGGCACAGUGGUUCAUGCCUGUAAUCCCAACACUUUGGGAGGCUGAGGCGGGUGGAUCAUCUAAGGUCAAGAGUUUGAGACCAGCCUUGCCAGCAUGAUGAAACCCCGUCUCUACUAAAAAUGUUAUAAAAAAUAGCCGGGCAUGGUGGUACAUGCCUGUAGUCCCAGCUACUUUGAAGGCUGAGGCAGGAGAAUCACUACUACCUGGGAGGUGGAGGUUGCAGUGAGCCAAGAUUGUGCCACUGCGCUCAAGCCUGGGUGACAGAGAGGGACUCCGUCUCGGAAAAAAAAAAAAAAAAAGGAUGACAAUUCCAGAUAGCUAUUCCAA